CUUAACCACUGUGCCACUGGGUCGGCCCCAUAUAAGUGAUUUUUAUUUUAUUUUAUUUGUUAGUGUUUCUUGGUAACCUUUGUAAUUAUAAAUAAUAGUCCUAUUGCUUCAACUUCCUGACACGUGCGCCUCUAAGUGUAUUAGCCGACCGCCCUCCCCUCCCCCCGCCACCUCCUAUGGUCUGUCUGCUGCACCAUUAGUUUUACAUAAUCAAGGUGUCUUUCUGAGGUUAUAAUAAGUCUUAAGUGCUGUGUCCAGAGGCUGAGUCUGAAAGUGAAAAUAUAGGGCACGUAUACUCUUAAGGUUACAUAAAUGAUAAUCAUUGUGAAUCCAUAACAAAGAUGUAAUUUUGCUGCCCUCAACCAGUGCUGUCCGAAGCACUCACAUUAAAUGGCAACUCUAAACAUUAUUUCACGUCACGCCACAUUUUAGUCUUCUCAUAUUGAGACCUUGAUUUUAUGGUAUGAAGCUUUAUAGUUUUCCCUGGAGUGGUGUUUCUCACCACAAAUGCCAGAUGCGACCCACAAAUGCCUCACUCACCAAGUGACGGAGGCCAUACAGCUCUUUGCUCCUAUUCUCUAUUGAACAGUCAGCUGGCUAUUUUCUGGGCUGCUGCAGGGCUGUCUUCCCACGAUGUCUUCACAUUGCUCUCCUUUACACUGUCACUCCUCUUGAGGAACCUGUGUCCUCCUCUUUGUUGAAUUCCAUUCUAGUUUUGCUGAAGUAUAUCCCUAAGUGCCUUUUUCCGAAAGGGUGUAUGGUAGAUAACUAUUUUGAAACUUUGCAUGUUUGAAACAUCUUUUCCCACUUCCCCACUAGACUAGAGGAUAGUUUCUAGGCCCAGAAUUACUGGUUCAAAAUCAUCUUCCUCAGCAGUUGGGAAACCCGGCUCCAUUCCCUAUAAGUGGGCAGUGGGGCUUUUUGUCAUCCCUGUGGCACUGACAUUGCACCAGGAUGGGUCCGUGAGCGAGUUUCUCUUCUUUCUCUUAUUUUACACUCUUCUAUCUGAACCCUCUUUCUCUCUUUAGUGCUGGGAAUUUUUCUUGUUUGUGCAGUAAAGGAUUAACUGUACCCGUAUAGAGGUCUGGCCUCGCCCUCCGUUCCGGGGAUGUAAUCUUUAAAUCCUUGGAUGUCCUGCUGAUAAGAGUGUCUUUGUUUACCUGGGGCCCUGGGCCCCCCAGAUAAUCUAUACUAGCAAUGUGACUUAUGGUGGGGGCUCUGGGUCCCGUGGUGUCAACUCAGCCUUUAGAAACGAAGCUCAGCCACACGGGCAGGUGGAAAACCCGGUCUGCAUGUCCCAUCCCCAUUAAAAGCCCUGGACCCCAUGGCUUGGGUGAACUCCCUGGGAAUACUCCAUGUGUUUGUUGCUCCCUGUUGCUGAGGGAAGUCAGAGCUGUCCACGACUCCACGGGAGAGACAACUGGAAGCUCGCGCCUCGUCCCUCCUGGACUCUGCCCCCCAUGCCCCUUCCCUUGGCAGAUUUUAAUCCGCAUCCUUUCUUUGUAAUAAACUGUGACCAGGAGUGUAACAGUUUUCAGUGAAUUCUGUGAGUCCUUCUAGCAAAUCAUCCAACUUGGGGCUGUUUGCGGGCCCCUCGGACUUGUAGUUGGUGUCAGAAGUAAGGGUGGUCUUGACGACCCCCAACUUUGUACAUCUCAUGCAUCUCCUGCUCUCCAUUUUCCCUUUAGAAUCUUCUAGAACACUUCCCCAGUCUGAGACUGCCCCGCCCUCAUCCUUCACAGCUCUGGACUGUCCUCUCCAUUUUCAUCACUCGUCUGUUCCACAUUCUGUCAGCAGACAUCUUGCGCCAGAGGCGGGCGUUGGUCCUAUUCACACUGCACCCUUGGGGCAGGGACCUCACCACCAGCAGGAUGCUAACCUGAAGCCUUACAGGGGACGUCAGUUCACCGGGAGGUCCACGCCAUGGCAGGCCGGGACAAGCCGCUGUCAGUCCUUGUCAGGUUUGGGUGUCACUGUGAUACUGGCUUCAUGAUGAAACUGAGGAUGAAGGAGAUAAGAUUUCCCUGGAUUGGGGUGAAACUGUGCCUCGUACCCACAAGUCUAACGUAGGAAACAAAAUAACCAAAGUUUCUGAGCUCGCCUUGCGGAACAGCAGGGGCACGGCUGAUAAGAGAGGAACUGUUGACAGGCCCCGCUGGACUCAGCAUCUUGCAGGAACAUCAAGAAGCUAAAAUGACUGACUGUAAACUUCAAACGUCACAGACUAAAAAUUCACUGUGUGCAACACAUAGAACAGACGGUCAGCCUGUGCGGACGACUCUUAGAGCUUCAGCCCCCAGGGGGACACGCUCCCCCCACCCUACCUGAAGCCCCAAGUAAAAACCCUUGCUUGUAGCUUUUCAGGGAGUUUGGGAUUACAGCAUUAGCUGCCGUUCUCCUUGCUCAGUGCUUUGCAAUAAAAUUCCUGCUUGCUUCCACUACACUCGGUGUCAGAUUGGCUUGUUGUGCAAUGCGUGAGUGAACUCACUUCAGGUUUGAUGUCAAUUUGGUGACCCAGGUGGGACAACGUCCCAAGUGGACGUCUCGACUGUGGUACACUGGCCUCUGGCUAAAGGCCUCUCUUGGAAGCUGUCCUGCAGCUGCCUGAGCCCCUGGUCUCAGGGACAGCCCCAAGCGACUGGCUGCUGACCAGACGUCAUUGGCCCACGGCGCUUUUGCUGGGGUGGUAGAAGAAACUAGGGUCAGGACUUGGGGAGACGUCUCUUGUAAGCGGUUGGCAGUUUUUGGUUUUGUCUUUUUUUUUUUUUUUGAGGAAGAUUAGCCCUGAGCUAA